GACGAACGCUGGCGGCGUGCUUAACACAUGCAAGUCGAACGGUGAAGCGCCUUCCUUUUUGGUGGGUGUGGAUGAGUGGCGAACGGGUGAGUAACACGUGAGUAACCUGCCCCCUUCUUCUGGAUAACCGCAUGAAAGUGUGGCUAAUACGGGAUAUUCUGGGUCUGUCGCAUGAUGGGUCUGGGAAAGAUAUUGUUUCGGUGGGGGAUGGGCUCGCGGCCUAUCAACUUGUUGGUGGGGUGAUGGCCUACCAAGGCGGUGACGGGUAGCCGGCCUGAGAGGGUGGACGGUCACACUGGGACUGAGACACGGCCCAGACUCCUACGGGAGGCAGCAGUGGGGAAUAUUGCACAAUGGGCGCAAGCCUGAUGCAGCGACGCCGCGUGAGGGAUGGAGGCCUUCGGGUUGUGAACCUCUUUCGCCAGUGAAGCAGGCCUGCCUCGUUUGUGGGUGGGUUGACGGUAGCUGGAUAAGAAGCGCCGGCUAACUACGUG
rnacentral:rRNA from 1 species